rnacentral:rRNA from 1 species
UACGGAGGAUCCAAGCGUUAUCCGGAUUUAUUGGGUUUAAAGGGUGCGUAGGCGGCCUAUUAAGUCAGGGGUGAAAGACGGUAGCUUAACUAUCGCAGUGCCCUUGAUACUGAUGGGCUUGAAUACACUAGAGGUAGGCGGAAUGUGACAAGUAGCGGUGAAAUGCAUAGAUAUGUCACAGAACACCAAUUGCGAAGGCAGCUUACUAUGGUGCGAUUGACGCUGAGGCACGAAAGCGUGGGGAUCAAACAGG